UUUGCUCACCAAUGAAAAUUUUGUGUGAAAUCGCCAAGGAAAUCAGCUACUCGAAUCAUUGAGGAAUAGCAUGCAAUGAAAUCCUUACUGAAAGGCAUUGCGUUUUUGCUAUGAUUAUACAAUCCACCCUAUCUUUUUCCUUGUAAAAUAUUUCAUUCCCGAUAUGAAGCACGAGAUGGGUGUUUUGUUUUUGUUUAUAUUUGCCUUUUUCUUCUCUACCUGCCACUGAAUGAUACGGAGAUUGGCUUCAGUUUUAGAAUUUCAAUGCUCGGGUUUUUUACAUACAAUAAAAAAUUGCCGUUCCCGUUCGUCAGCCUGGUUUGCUUCGAGAAACAAAGUUAUUUCCAACAACAACGACCGACGGUGAUGGCGACGCAUGGUUGAAGGAUUGCAACGAUCGGGUUUUUUACAUAUCAUAAAACUUCGAUUCUCGAUCCUCAGCCUGGUUUGCUUAGAAACAAAUUUAUUUCCAACAACAACGCGCAGUGUUCGGGGUAAGUGAUUUGUUUUGAAAGCAUUGUUGUUUUUCCGAGAAACUGUUUUUCAGUUGAAUUCCAUUGUUCAUAGUGUCAACAAGUGAGUAAAGCUUCAAAUUAUUAAAAAGAGUUUAAAAAAUAAAUUAUAAGCGUAAAAAAGUGAAUAUUUAGGUAAAUUGGUAGGUAAUUGUGUUCAAAUGGACAAGGAAAAUAUUCAGGUAAUUUUAUUUAAAUUACAAAUCCCUUUCUACAAUUAUCUAAUCCUAUGUUUUUGCUCUUUUUCUAAAGGCUUCCGGAUCUAAACAGUCGGCAAUGGACUCCAUUGAAUUUUCACCCACAAAGCAGCCAAGGCGGAUUUUUAAGAAAACGAAUCAACAAGAUAUGAUAGACGAAAUGAGAGCGGACAUUAAACGUUUGUGUGUCACCACGGAGCAGCUAAAAAAUGGGAUCUGCACAUUGGCAGCAUUUUUUUCAAUAAAAUCAAUAAAAUUUA